UACAGAGGUCUCAAGCGUUGUUCGGAUUCAUUGGGCGUAAAGGGUGUGUAGGUGGCGCGCUAAGUCGGGUGUGAAAUUUCGGAGCUUAACUCCGAAACUGCAUUCGAUACUGGCGUGCUUGAGGACUGGAGAGGAGACUGGAAUUCAUGGUGUAGCAGUGAAAUGCGCAGAUAUCAGGAGGAACACCGAUUGCGAAGGCAGCUCGCUGGAACGUUACUGACGCUGAGACGCGAAAGCGUGGGGAGCAAACAGG
rnacentral:rRNA from 1 species